rnacentral:lncRNA from 1 species
UCCUCAAGGACCACCCGGGUGGCACUGACAGUAUUCUCAUCAACUCUGGCACAGACUGCACGGAAGAAUUUGACGCAAUCCAUUCUGAUAAGGCCAAGAAACUUUUGGAAGAUUAUAGGAUAGGUGAAUUGAUAACUACUGGUUAUACCUCAGAUUCCAGUACUUCAUCUCCUAAUAAUUCAGUUCAUGGUCCCUCGGGAGGCGGUCUCUACUUAGCCCCGAUCAAGGAAAUUGCACCGGCGAGAAAUGUUGCCCUAAUUCCACGUGAGAAAAUUCCAUGCAAACUUGUUUCCAAGACGUCAAUUUCCCAUGAUGUUCGACUGUUUCGAUUUGCAUUGCCUGCUGAAGAUCAGGUUCUAGGAUUACCUGUUGGGAAGCAUAUAUUUUUGUGUGCUACAAUCGAGGAUAAGCUUUGCAUGCGAGCUUACACGCCAACAAGUGGAGUUGACACAGUCGGAUAUUUCGAGCUAGUCGUGAAGAUUUACUUCAAGGGAAUUCAUCCCAAAUUUCCAAAUGGUGGGCUUAUGUCACAGCAUUUGGUCUCCCUCCAAGUUGGAUCAUUCUUGGAUGUGAAGGGUCCUUUAGGUCACAUUGAAUACACAGGAAAGGGCAACUUUUUAGUGCAUGGCAAACACAAGUUUGCCAAGAAACUAGCCUUGCUCGCUGGUGGCACGGGGAUUACGCCGGUUUAUCAAGUUAUGCAGGCUAUUUUGAAGGAUCCUGAGGAUGAAACUGAAAUGUUCGUAGUAUACGCUAAUCGCACCGAAGAUGAUAUAUUACUUAAAGACGAACUAGACGAAUGGGCUGAGAAAUAUCCGGACAGGGUCAAAGUGUGGUACGUCGUCCAAGAAUCUAUUAAAGAAGGCUGGAGAUAUAGUUUGGGCUUCAUCACGGAGAGCAUUCUCCGAGAACACAUUCCCGAAGCAUCGAAAACCACUCUCGCAUUGGCUUGCGGACCGCCACCGAUGAUACAGUUUGCCAUUAAUCCCAAUUUGGAGAAGAUGGGCUACGAUAUAAAGAAUUCUUUGUUGGUGUUCUAGAGUGACACCUGAAGCCUAAUGGAUGGUUUGAUUAUUCGAUAGAUGAAAUAAAUUUUGUGAGUAUAAUACACGUAUCAUUCCUCUUGUUGUUUUUAUCAACUUGUCGACAAUCUUUCUCCUUUUUUCAAUUUUUUUUCUUUAGAUUUUAUUUUUUCUACCACUAUAUCUAGUCCCGGGUGCAAAGGGAGUCAAACUUUGCCGUCCAAUUUUGCUAUCUAUACAAUUAAUUUUUGACACAUCAUUUAGUAUGUUAGUGGUGAAGUUAAUAAGAGUAAAUCUGAGAUAACAAAUUAAUUAUUGAUGACAUGUCAUGAAUUAAUUGGAUGAACAGCAAAAUGGGACAGUAGAUCUUGACUUGUGCAAAGGUAUGUUGGCUUGCCAACUCGCCCAGGCUGUUUUAUUUACUUUAUUUCUUUUUGGAAAAACCAUCUAUCGUGAUAUAUAAUUCAAUCUAUGAAGAGAUUAGUUUGUACAAAUUUCCAUAGAAUGCAUCUUAAUUUCUUUUAUCUCUUAAUGAUUCCUGAAUUAUCACCAAUUUGUAAAAUAAAGAAAAAUAUUUAAAAAGUCUGCUCGACUUUGAAGGUAAAGUAUACGCGGCUUUGUCGUGUUGUCACCUGUGGAAUAUUGAAAUAUCCUGACCAAAAGCACACAACUUAAUAUAUUAUUGAAUAUCCAAUUAACACUUUUAGUAUUUUUUUUUUUAAUUCUAUAAUUGUUUAUUUCCUCACUUUUCUUAAUUCUGUAAUAAUUUAUGUGGUUGUGUUAUUGAUAUCUCUAGACGUAUGAUGUCCGUAUGAUAUUCCCAAAAUGUUAUUUGGACAGUACCCUAAAUAAAACAGAAUGAGGGACAUGUUCUUGACCUCAUUAAAUUGGACCCAAAAAUAAUUUGUUCAUGCAUUGAAAUGCUAUCCAAAUUCUGUUUAAAGAUGAUGUUAUAUAUAAAUGUCUAUGGAAAUCGUACUUCUAGUUUGUUCUUAACUAUUCUAAGUAUUGUAUUUGAUCUUGAUCGAGGAAGAAAGUUGUUUGCACCAUAUCUUCAAAAAUAGGACAAAAGUAGAGCAAACUGUUCACAAAAAAAAAGGGGAAUAUUUGAUAUAUUUGUGUGUAUUCUAUGUAAAGAAUUGAACGAUAGAAAUGAUGAUUUAUGCAAAAAAGUGAACGUGAUAUAAUGACACAUUAAGCAAAUGCCUCUUUGAUUGUUGGGUAUAUCUUGUGUGGAACUAAAGAAAUUUACAUUAAGAAAAGAAAUUUGUAAUAGAAAAUGUAAGAAGAGAGAAGUACACUAAGUCUUUGUUUGUCAAUCAUUCUACCACGUUAUUUUUUCUACAGUACUCAUUUUCAAUCACUCAUUUUUCAUUAAAAUAAUAUUACACAUAAAUCAAAAAAAAUUUCUUCUUUUUUAACUACAUAUUUCGACAUCAUUCACUAUUCCAUAACAUAUUUUUUGAAAUUAAAGGGCACAAACAGGCCCUAAAAGUAACUUAGUUUGAUGUAGUUGCAGAAGGAGGAAAGGAAAAUAUGCAAGUCCCAAAAAUCUACGAGUUUCUAACUAUAGAAAAUUUGUGCUCGUGUUUUGAAUAAGCUCAAGUGGAUUACAGAUGUAUAAAGAAUGCUAUCAAAUGCAAGGCUGGAGCUAGAAGAUAAGAUUUAUGAGGGGAAAUUACAUAAAAUUUUAAUUAUGGGGGCAAAGCUUGAAAACAGUAAGGACUUUUUUAAAAACCUUGAAAAAAUAUUGGACAAAAUAUUAAAUUUUCAAAUUUGCUGUGGGAGCUGGUGGCCCCACUGUGAAUCAACCCUUCACUCAAAUGGAUGGUCCAAAGUCCAAACAGGAAAAUAAUAGUAUGAGGUGGUCCAGCAGACUAACUAAUUACACACAUGCCAUUCAGUUUCUUACAGGUGGGCCCCCAUCAAUCUAACUCAUUAGAGGUGUCAAUUCGCUGCUAUGAGUAUCGAAAGCACCGUUUCCGGUGAGCCACCCCCGCCAGCUGCGGCGGCCAUAAUUUCUUUUGUAUUUUAUGGUGUGGAAAGGUCAUCAAAACUUGUCUCUGCGGCUCAAAUCCACUUGACCCCUAUCCCUUGUCUCUAUUAUUUCAUAUAAUCUAUACAUCUCUUGGUGUGUGUUGUUCAAGAUAAUGAAUAUAGGAAAGUGCUACAUGUACAUAAUUAUUUACAUAAUAAUGUCCAUAAUUACACGUGGCAAUGGAUCAUUCCUUUAAUUCAAAUCUUACACUUUCACAUCAAUAAUCGAAUUAUUGUCACAUCAUAUUAUGGACAACAUUACGUGCAAUAAUUAUGUAUAUGUAGACUUUUCUAUGUAUAUGUAUAUACACAUACUUUUUAAGGUUUUAUAUACACAUCAACCUUUGAAAUCGUGUUGCUCCCCGAAUGAAUGUUAACAGCAAUUUUUAAUAAGCUGUUCGAUGAUGCUUACAUCCGGUCUCCUCUACAAGUUCAAGUUGUAUCCUCAAAAUAUUAAUUUACAUGCAAAUUAAAUAUAUUUUUCAUUUCGCCUCUCUAAUAUCAUAUCAAACGUCUCAUCUAACAAUUUAAGCCAUUAGAAAAAUACUACAUAAAUAUAUUUAAAUCUUAUCCUUAUUAUGUGAGUAUGAAAAACAAUUGAAUAUUAAUUAAAUCCAGUUGCAUAAACUAAAUUAACAACUAACUAGCAUAUUGCUCCCAACCAUGCAGCAUAAAAUAUUAGUCUUAUUUCAUACGUACAAUGAUACAAUCUUGAAAAAUAAGUUUGUGAUUAUUGUUAUUUACAUAUAGCUUCUACAAUGAGUACAGUCAGGGAUGUUCAACAUAGUAUGUUAAAUAGAUGAGACUGAACACGAUUAUUGAAAGAGUAAAUUUAUCUCCAAUUUUGUUCACCAAGUAUGGAAAGAAGCAGCUAAAAAUGCACUGAUGCCAUCCCUAACAGCUUGAGAAACUGGUUUCUUUGCUGUGUAGGAAAGAGUCUAUGGAUCAAGAUGUGAAAAUGAAGCGAUUAACAGCAUGUUUGCUUAAGCCUUAAAGAAGACUUCUCACUAAACAAGUUUGGACAACUUAUCGUUUUCUUACUUUUAAUUUACUUUGUCCACUUGUAUACUUAUAAGUAAACUGUUUAAGCUUAGCCAAACAUGCUAUAAAUUUGCAAAUAUAGUGAGAGAAAUGACAUAUAAAUUUUUGAGCAUAUUCUCUCUCAUCUGUAGUCUAUGUCUUGAGGAACUUGAGAGAUAAUUAGAUGUCCUAAAAGCACUCAGAACAGUUCGACAUUUUAAGCUGAUUCUGCUUCCAUUUAGGCAAUUUUGACGUACAAAUUUAAAUAGAAAUUUUAAACUUAUUCUGCUUCCAUUUGAAUUUACGUAGAAAAUAUAUUAUUGCGUACGUAUGGGGUUGAAAAUAAGUACAUAAAAAAAUAGAGUUUAAAAAAAAUGGUUAUCAAAUAGGGGGUUAGUUUUACCUUACUAAUAAAUUAGCUUCAUUCUGUGGACCAAAUGAAUUUGUGGAAAAAGGUAGUGGUUUUUUGCCACCAUUAUGAAUUUUUCUUACAUCAAAACAAUCAAAUAUUGGUCAAUCUUUCUUCAAUUGUCUUAUCACCUUCCUGUUGAUUAAAAUGGUUGGUGAAGAAUCAAAGUUAUGGGCCAUGUUGUAUGAAUUUUGUAAACUUGACGGACAUAGUCACGUGAAAAUGUAAACAUUAGUCAAAGGGUUGGCCGAAAAUUACAAUAACAACAAAUUAAAUUUUAAUUCAAAGAAUAUGGUCGUUCGGUUGCGAGUUAAAAAUCUCAAUUAAUUGCUUGGACUCGACAAGUAUUUGUGAAAAGUGACCACUGUGCUAAAAUUCAAGUUAUGCAGGAAGUAGACAUUACCGUAACUUUUGGUAGGGAAAUGUUGUGUUGAAAUGCCAACUUUAUGAAUACCAAUAAUUCGCUUGACAUUCUCUUGAUGACGGGCGAUGUUUCUGUCGUCGACGGUGGUGGUUGAUUGGAAGUUAUGGUGGAUGAAGUGGUGAAAAUGGAAUGGUGGAAAAUGGGGUUAGGAUUAAUUUUUCUAUAUUAAGUGGGUGGGUGUGGAAUGGAGUGAGGAAGUGCACCUGAUUUUCCUAAAAUAAAUUUCUUCGCACUUGAUUAUUGAAAUGAACAAUGACAAGGUAGGAUGCAAUUCUCUCUUUUAAGUAAGGUUGAAGGCCCAAUAUUUUUGAAAGAAUUCUGGGCCUUUAGAAUUGGGCUCUUUACAAAAAUGUGUCUCAAGAACUGUAGUGAUGACAAAAAAAAUUCGUCUCGACAAGUUGAUGGGAUGGGAUGGGACUCGCCGCCCCUUCUCGGGGCAUGGGACGAGGAUGCCCCUCCCUGAACUUGCCCCGUGAAGAGAAAAACAAUUUUAAAAAAAUUUAUUUUUUAACAAUUCACCUAUUAAAAAUCUAUUUUUAAUUUGUAUAUAAUUUAUUCUCUAAUAAUAUCAUAACUCUAAAUUUUGAAAAAUGUCAAAAAAAAGGCAGCAAACGGGGUAAGCUGUUGCCCCGCCUCCUCUAAGGUGGGGCGAGGCACGACUGGGUUUGGGCAGGGCCCCACUGCUAUCCCUAUCAAGGAGUCCUUUACUCUAGCAUACGAGUCAAUGUUACAAUAUAACUAUCAUAUUCAAUUCAGUCAAGAUAUCAUGUCAUUCGGUGAAUGGUUGAGCCGAUGGAUUAUUGGUCAAAUCGAUAUGUCAAUGUUGAAUUUUUCAAUGUAUACGAAUUUUGUUUUCUAGACAAUAAAAAUUUCAAAUUGUUUGUUAAUAGUAUAAACAUUUUAUCUUAGAAAGGUAUUUAUAUUUUUCGAAUAAAAUAAUAAAAUUAAUUAAAAAAAGGAAAAAAAAAUACACUGGACGAAAAAACGGUUGUGGAGAUUAUAGAGAUGCAGGAUUUUUUUAAAAUUUUUAUUUUUUAUUUUUGCCUUAAUUGUUUUUAUCUUCCUUUUUCUUUUCCUUCUAUUUCCUUAUUUAUUUAUUUUGUAUUCAAAAAUUAUUUAUGUGUACCCAUUUUAUCCUCAAAACAGUGUUCUACCUAUCGUGAACGUGACAUUUCAAUGAUAAUAUGGACAAUUUUCUUCCCUAGGAAAAGUAAUGUAACAAAAUUAAGAUGUCAAGAAUUUAUACAUUCCACAUGAAAAGUCAGGAACGAAAUUUUUACCUAUGCUAUAAAUCGGGACCUCUGUGGCAAUUCUACCAUAGACCAGUCUAUACCUUUGAGGCCCUUUAAAUGUGACUAGUUCAUAUGUUCGACAAAUUCGGAUAAUUUCAUUAAGAUUGGCAUACAAUUUGACAUACCACAUGUCAUUGUAUCAUUGAACAACUUAAAAAACGGUCAACUUUUUUCACACAAUCAUCUAUUGACACAUGCAAUUAUAUCAAGCAUUCUGUUAAAUCCUUCUGGCAAAGUAGCUUUAUCCUUGAUGAAAAUGAGUUUAGUAUACUUUUUAGCCAUCCAUACAUACUAGACAGAACAAUACCAAAUAAAAUUAAUAAGAAAGAGAAAUUAAUUUUUUUUAUUGUGUGAUCCAAUUGGUAAAAAACAUCAAAUUUUGUGCGCACUUACCACGCUCUUCACGAUCAUACGUCAUAUGAGAUACAUAUUAUUCAAAACUCCAUACCAAACAUGUAUCAAGUGCUAACUAUUGUAAUCAAAAUAGAGAAUUAAUGUGAAAGUGAUUAUGAGUUACAAAUUAUGUACCUCAUACGACGUAUGAUCGCUGAGAACAUGGGAAGUACACACAAGAUUUGAGGUAGGAAUUUUUUUUUCCCUAAACCGAUGAUAUCUUGUGCAAGAAAUUCACUAAUUUAACCCUAUAUAAGAGAAUUCACUGCUUAAAUUGACUCCAAAGCUUCCUCUAGCAUACUCGAGUCAGUGAUGGAUUAUUUGCCCUUGCGAUAAUUGAAAGAUGAGAAAAAUCUUGAUCAAUAUAUUGUGGUAGUAGUAUUACUUAGGCCCUUUUUUCCUUUCGAUAAAAAUUAAUUUUUUAGUAAAUUUUGAUAAAAGUUGAUGACAAGUGUGGUUAAAAAGUUCGUGAAAAUUAUGAAUCCGUGUUAUUAAAAUUAAUUAUUAACUUUAAUUUUUUAGCCAAACCAAACGGUCCAAACCUGGGCUUGUAGUAUUGUUAUAAUAAUGAAGAUUGGAUUCUAAUGUUAAUUAUUGUCCCUUUGUGUGUGUAAAUAGAAUUAUAGGACAUGUCACUGCUUAUUCAUUUGUGAAGAUGGCUCCACAGUUUCUUGCAGUUCUUGGAUCCUGUUUGCAAGUGCUUUCUUUGCUUUUAUAUGAAUUUUUUAAGGUGCAUUUGGCACAUUGAGUUAGAUGGUAUCAAGAAUUAAAAAUAAUAUUAGAGAGGAUGGUAUUAGGUGAAUUAAUGUUGAUUAGAGCCAUCGUUUAACUAAUAUCUAAUACACAGAAGAAUUUAUUCUGAAAGUACCGAAACUCUCGUGGAAUUCUUUUCACUUAGAGUAUGUUUAAUUGACAUGAAAAAUAUCACCUAAAAAUGAAAAUGUUUUCCUUCUUUUGGGGAAAAUAAAAACCAUUUUCACGCAAGGAAAAUGUUUUUCUCAAAAACAAGGAAAAUUAAACAUAUUUUCAAAAGUUGGAAAAUAUUUUUCAUAGAAAAAAAUAGCAAUCAAACACCUUAAGUAGAAAUUUGGAUGGAAAACUGAUAUUUUUCAUGGAAAAUAAAUGUAAUCAAACACACCUAUAAAAAAAUAGAACCUAAGAAUUUAAAAUUGGGUAAUGCUACGUGUACAUAAUCGUGUAUAUAGACUUACACGUCACAUGGAGGAGGCCCACACAAUAAAGUAUAGAUGGACCGCCUACAUGUGAUGAGGGUGUAAUCCCAUAUGUACAUCUUGAUUUUCCUUUAAAAUUGGGCAUAAAAGAAUGAAUAAUACAGAAUCCCCUUAAAAGGAAGAAAGGUCAAAAAGUAGAUUUUGACCCGCCACAGUAUAUACUCUAGAAAAGGAAUCCCGAUGUCUCCAAAAUGACUAUUAGUUUGCCCACAUACUUUAAAUCAAACUACAAUCCCAUAUUUACACUACUGGGUCUGUGCACAUGGAAUUUUGAGUUCCAUUUGGCAUACAUUCUUUACAGACUGACAGGAUUUUUCUUCGAAAAGAAGAAAAAUAAGCCUACUUUAAGUCAAUUUGAAAUUAUAAUUGAGAACUGAUUAGUUAGAAAGAAGAAGUGCUCAGUAAACAAAGUGGACAAGAACAAGAAACACCAGCACAUCUUUAUCCCACUUUCUCUCCUUUUCAUGUGGUUAACUCUCUUUUACUGUAACCAAAAGAAAAGCAAAUGGCUAAUAUAUAAAGAGAGGGAAGGCCAACUACUGAGACCCCGUUUGAGAGGAAUUUUGAGAAUUGAUUUUUUGACCGUUAGAAGAAAAUUGAGGUCCAUCUGUGAGAGAAGAAGUCAAAAAUUACGACUGAAAUAAUUAAAUAACGAUCAAACAAUCAAUUUUUUGGGUAAAAAAACCUCUCCCAAACAGGCUCUAAAUAAAUGUCGCCUUAAAACACGAGAAAGACUACUUAUGUUUUCAUUUAACUUUCUUUUUGGUUUGAAUUCAUAAAAAAUAUUUUCUUUGUGUAAAAAUUUGUAUCACUAAACAAGCGUGCUAACUACUGAUUCUUAAUAAUUCCAAGAAUUGACUAAUAUUAAUUAUGUGGAUCAAAAGAAUGGUUAAAAAUCAACCUUUCAUUUUUCAACAUGAAGACCGAACUUUAACUAUUUACUUGACUAUAUUCAUUGACUUUUAGAUUCAUGUUCAACAAUGUAUCGGUAUAAAGAAAAGUCGUACUUUACAAUAAAAAAUUUUCAAGUUUAGAUUUUGAUGAUAAAGGAAUCUGAUUCGUGCAUGGGUUUGUGUCCAUGUGGACGAGUUUGUACACAUUAAAUCAUCAUUAAACUCUCAUAUGUCAAGAAAAUUAUAUUUAGAAAAGCAGUAUUAAAUGAUGAAUAGGUGGUGGGAAGAAAGUGACGAGGGUGGAGGUGACUAUGGAUGGCGGCGAGACAUGGCAGAUUGCCGCUUUGGACCACACGGAGAAGCCGAACAAGUACGGCAAAUACUGGUGCUGGUGCUUCUGGUCACUGGAGGUGGAGGUGCUGGAUUUACUUGCUGCGAAAGAAGUUGCAGUUCGGGCCUGGGAUCAAUCCCUCAACACGCAGCCCCAAAAUCUAAUUUGGAAUGUCAUGGUAACUCCACCCCACCCGCAUUUUUGGCUUAAUAUUCUGCCCGCUUGAUAAUAUUUCUUAAAUUUUUUAUUUUUGAAAACUCAUUUUUAACGUCACUUCUUUAAUAAAAUUAUUUGAUACAUGGAUUCAUAAUAUUUUUUAUUUUUUUAUUUUUUAUUUUGUUAACGAUACAUUCUUAAAAAGUAUCAAUUAUCUCAAAAUGGGGCUACCAAAGUCAAAUUUACUUAUAAGUACGCAGUUGGUAAAGACUUUUAUUAAGAAGUGUUUGGAAUUGAAAUCUAGCAACUUCUAAGAAUGCUAAAAGAUGUCAGGCAAAAGUUUGUUUAUAAGUUCACGAGUAAAUAAGUAAUUUUUAAUUGACCUAUAUAUAUGUAAUAUAUUAAGCCUUUUUAGUAGGGAUUAAAAAUUUAGAUUUUAAUAUUAGUUAAAAUUAAUAAUUAUCUUAAGAAGAUAUUUUAUGGGAUUCAUUAAUUUUAAUCACACAUCUCAUCAUUUUUAUCAAAAUCUACUAAAAAUUUAAACUUACUGAUUACUGAUAAGUAAUUUUAGCUGGGCACAAUGUAGACAAAAAAUUCUUACUACUGACCGUGUGCUGGCAUGUGCCAUUAUAAAAAUUUAAACUUUUUUUUUAUUUUUCAACCAUAUAUUUCUUAUCAAUCUACUAUUUUAAAAUAUGUUUUUUCAUAAAAAAAGGAAGUCAAACACCCUCUUAAAAAGCAAGUAACUUUAAGAAAGUAUAUAAUCUUUAAAUUGUGCAGGGAAUGAUGAAUAAUUGUUGGUUCCGAGUGAAAACUAAUGUGUGCAAACCACUCAAAGGAGAGAUUGGAAUCGCCUUUGAACACCCAACUCAACCUGGAAACCAAUCUGGUGGAUGGAUGGCUAAGGAGAGGCACUUGGAGAAAUCCUCCGAGGCAAAUCAAACCCUAAAGAAGAGUGUUUCAUCGCCUUUUAUGAACACUUCUUCAAAAAUGUAUUCAAUGUCUGAGGUUAAGAAGCACAACUCGUCCGACUCUGCCUGGAUCAUCGUCCACGGCCACGUCUACGACUGCACUCGCUUCCUCAAGGACCACCCGGGUGGCACUGACAGUAUUCUCAUCAACUCUGGCACAGACUGCACGGAAGAAUUUGACGCAAUCCAUUCUGAUAAGGCCAAGAAACUUUUGGAAGAUUAUAGGAUAGGUGAAUUGAUAACUACUGGUUAUACCUCAGAUUCCAGUGCUUCAUCUCCUAAUAAUUCAGUUCAUGGUCCCUCGGGAGGCGAUCUCUACUUAGCCCCGAUCAAGGAAAUUGCACCGGCGAGAAAUGUUGCCCUAAUUCCACGCGAGAAAAUU